rnacentral:ncRNA from 2 species
AUCGUUCAUCCGACCAGGAUUCUGGUUUGGACGGAAGUAAGGGAAAGUUUCUCUGAAGGAACGCGCC